CGCCGAAAGAUGAGCCCGCACUUGAUUAGCUAGUUGGUAAGGUAAAAGCUUACCAAGGCAACGAUCAAUAGCUGUACUUAGAGGAAGACCAGCCACAUUGGGACUGAGACACGGCCCAGACUCCUACGGGAGGCAGCAGUGGGGAAUCUUGCACAAUGGGGGAAACCCUGAUGCAGCGAUGCCGCGUGAGUGAAGAAGGCCCUUGGGUUGUAAAACUCUUUCGUCGGGGAAGAAAAUGACUGUACCCGAG
rnacentral:rRNA from 1 species